GGGGUGCUCGAGUGGCGAACGGGUGAGUAACACGUGAGUAACCUGCCCUUGACUUUGGGAUAACUUCAGGAAACUGGGGCUAAUACCGGAUAGGAGCUCCUGCUGCAUGGUGGGGGUUGGAAAGUUUCGGCGGUUGGGGAUGGACUCGCGGCUUAUCAGCUUGUUGGUGGGGUAGUGGCUUACCAAGGCUUUGACGGGUAGCCGGCCUGAGAGGGUGACCGGCCACAUUGGGACUGAGACACGGUCCAA
rnacentral:rRNA from 1 species